AUAGAGCUUUAUAGUAUACAAACAGAUUUAUGGCUUUCUCUCUUUUAAACUAACUGAAUUGCUUUUUUAAAAUUUCCAGUUAACACCUGUUACAAAAUCACAUUGAAUUCCUUUGGUUGGUUCUCUGCUCCAUCUAGUCUGCUGUUUUCUGUGAACACAACACCAUCUUACUCUUUGUCUCCUUUGCCUACGACGUCCUAAUUAGUGCUUUCUUCACCUGGUUAAAUCCUGCUUAUUUCUUAUUUCCCACAAAGCCAUCACUGACCCUUUUGCUAGGCUAGACUAGUGUACAUUUCUGUAUGCUACAUACUUCAUUACAUAUACUUUUCUCACCCGUAUUUAUUCAUGUGUGUCUGCCUCUCCUACAGAUUAUAAGCUCAUUGAGGGAAGAGAUCACAUUAAUCUUCAUAGUUCCAUGUACAGUUCUCAGCACAUCAUAGACACUGAUAAACUAAGCUGUUUUUGAGAGCCCUUCCCCUCAUUUAUAAUGUACAAGAGUAAAAUCUGGAUUUGCUCAUCAAUUGUCAGGCAGUGAACACAAAUUAUAUCUGUAUUACAAAAAAUUCACAUUAUAAUGUACAUUGUUUUCUGUUACAGUUCUGAAAUUUUUGUGCCAGAACUCUACUCAGCCCUAAUCACUAAUUGAUAUUUCAACAUGAACUAUUUAAAGAUAAUUUAGCAAUAAUGUCUAUUGAGUACAUAUACCAGGCACUGAAACUUAGUGUAUUAUCUCAUUUUGUCUUUCCUAACAGACCCAAGAGGUAUAGGUCCUAUUAUUUUCCAUAUCUUACAAAUAAAGAGGAUGAGAGAUUAUUUGUAUUUAAAGCCAGGAUUCAAACCCAGGUGUGUCUCAGAGCCUAUACACUUAAUCACCACACUAUAUUGGCUAAGAGAGAUGCAAGCAAUAUUGAUGGUUCAUGGUUGGUGAUCUGUCAGCCAACUAUUCUGAUACUUUUUUUUUUAAAUACUAAGUUUAAUCCAGGACAUUUUAGUCCCAAAUUUGGAUAUUAAAGGAAAACUAAAUAUGUUACCUGCAAAUAAAGUUUUGUUUUCCAAAAAGAAAAUUAUUAGAAGGCACUUCAACACUGUGACUUUAAGUACUAGAAAUAUUUUAGUAAAAACAGACUAAACUGAAACAUUGAGCAGUGAAUCCUUUAAAGAGCAAGGUUAUAAGGUUUUAAUUAUGUUACUUUUUUUCCUGCUUCAUUUGCCUGUAAGUGACUUUAUUAAAAAACCUAAGUAUAUUUGUCAUACAUUUACCCAAGGAAAGUGCACAAACUACCUUGAAUAUUAGACAUAUUGAUUUUUGGCUGUGUGCAUGUGUAAUUAUCUUAAGAGAAAUUCUUUGUGGGAAGUGGGGACAUUUUUACGAUAAUGUAAUUUCUUGAAUAGCCAGCUCUUCAAAAGCUAUUUGUAAAAAAUAUUUAAAAGUUUCUUAGUUAUAAAAAGUUAGGAACCACUGUUCUAGGAACUGGAAUUGUGUUAUUUUUAUUCCUCUGGAGGAAAAAUGAGAUCUUCAUAAAGAUCUCUUUAAAUUGACUAUUUCGAAAAGUUAGGAGUUCAGAGAAGCUUUCUUCAAUUGUGAAAACAAUGCAAAAUAGCUAGCUGAUUGGAAUGCAGAAAAAUGCAGAUUAAUCAGGAUACCAUUAAACAUCUCUGUUUUUCCUUCCUUCCUUGUAGUUUAUUUAUGUGAAUCAGUCCUUUGCUCCUUCCCCAGACCAAGAAGUUGGAACUCUCUAUGAGUGUUUUGGCAGUGAUGGUAAACUGGUUUUACAUUACUGCAAGUCUCAGGCAUGGGGAUGAACCACAAAGAAAAUCAUCUUGCUACAUAAAAUGGAUUUUCACAGAAGAGACAGCUCUGAAAAGUUUUGAUGCUUGUGGCAAGAGACUUAACAGACGUGAUCUAUUCAGUAUGUGUCUACUCUAUGUUUAUGCAUAAGAAAACAUCCAUAGCAUGAAUGGACUCAGAAAAAUGUGAUUUGUAUUAAUAUACCAGUCAUCAUAAAAGAUGGUCAUUAUAGUACACCCAUUGCUCCUACUUGUUACUAUUAUUGCUGCAGAUCUGCCUCCAAGGUUGAAAAGGAGACUAAGACUGUAUAAACGUCUUCAUUGCCAGUUCUCAAAAUGACUGAAAUUGUUUUCAUGGUAAAAGUUAAUAUACUAAAGGGUUCCUUUUUUUUUAAUAUUUACAUUUAUGUCUAUGUGUAUGUACCUUCUUAGUCACAUUGACCUGCUGGCUGAAUACCUCAAAUAGUCCAGUAGAGGGCAGCCCACCAGGCAGAAAAGGUUAGGCACUUUGGUUUCACAUCUUUGCUGGGGAAUAAUAGGGGAAAUGGCUGUUUUUGCUAAUUUUUAGCUAAUAUCUAGCCAGGAGAGCAAGCACAUUGGACAGACUGAAAGACUGUAAUUUUACACAAUACACAUGGCUUAAUUAUUUUAUUGGGAUACAGAAAAAUAUAAAUUCUGGACAAAUAAGUCAUAUACCUGUUUUCAGUCCUAUCAUUUAAGGAUUCUUGAGUCCCAAUCACAUAACUGUGGUGUUACUCUGUCAUUUAUACAGUGUCAAAAGCACUUGAUGAGUAAACCCAGUAACAUCUUUUUGAGUGUUUCAUAAUGCAUUUUCCAACUUGAAAACACUCAAUAAUUGAAAAAUAGCCUUAUUGUGUAUUUUAUGCCAUGACUAAAAGUGCCAUUUUUACUGAUGCUAUUAGACUGAUAAUUUCUUGAAGUGAGAUUUAACCUUCUUUUCUCUUCAAUAUUAUAUUUAUAAUGCCAUAUUUUUAGAAAGCAUUCCAGAUCAGGCAUGGUGGCUUACACCUGUAAUCCCAGCACUUUGAAAGGCCGAGGUGUGGGGAUUGCGUGAAGCCACGAGUUUGAGACCAGCCUGGGUAACAAGGCAAGAUCCCCAACUCUACAAAAAAAUAAAAAUUAAAAAAAAUUAUUAGGCUGCAGAGGCAAGAGGAUCCCCUGAGCCUAGAAGUUCAAGGGUAUAGUGAGUCAUGAUUGUACCACUGCAUUCCUGCUGGGCAACAGAGUGAGACCCCAUCUCAAAAAAAAAAAAAAAAAGAAGGCAUUCUAGUAAAUCGAAUGUAAUGUGAAUGGAAUUUCAAAACAGGAUCUAAGAUGGUAUGUAGUAGAAUUCCAAGUAAUACCAUUUUGAAGUUAAAUAAGUUGGGUAUGGAAAAGGUCUGUUCUCUAGUUUUGUCCAGUUCAGUUUACUGAAGGAAUAUAUUAUAUUCAUAUAUUUAACAAAUAAAAAUAUGUUGAAUUUGUG
rnacentral:sRNA from 1 species